rnacentral:rRNA from 1 species
GGGGAAUCUUGGACAAUGGGCGCAAGCCUGAUCCAGCCAUGCCGCGUGAGUGACGAAGGCCUUAGGGUUGUAAAGCUCUUUUGCCGGGGACGAUAAUGACGGUACCCGGAGAAUAAGUCCCGGCUAACUUCGUGCCAGCAGCCGCGGUAAUACGAAGGGGACUAGCGUUGUUCGGAAUUACUGGGCGUAAAGCGCACGUAGGCGGAUUUGUCAGUCAGGGGUGAAAUCCCGGAGCUCAACUUCGGAACUGCCUUUGAUACAGCAAGUCUCGAGUCCGAUAGAGGUGGGUGGAAUUCCUAGUGUAGAGGUGAAAUUCGUAGAUAUUAGGAAGAACACCGGUGGCGAAGGCGGCCCACUGGAUCGGUACUGACGCUGAGGUGCGAAAGCGUGGGGAGCAAAC